UGGGUAACCUGCCCUUAACUCUGGGAUAAGCCUGGGGAAACUGGGUCUAAUACCGGAUAUGACUCCUCAUCGCAUGGGUGGGGGGGUGGAAAGCUUUAUUGUGGUUUUGGAUGGACUCGCGGCCUAUCAGCUUGUUGGUGAGUAAUGGCUCACCAAGGCGACGGACGGGUAGCCGGCCUGAGAGGGUGACCCGGCCACACGUGGGACUGACGACACGGCCCAGACCUCCGUACGGGGAGGCAG
rnacentral:rRNA from 1 species